UGGGGAAUUUUGGACAAUGGGGGAAACCCUGAUCCAGCCAUCCCGCGUGUGCGAUGAAGGCCUUCGGGUUGUAAAGCACUUUUGGCAGGAAAGAAACGUCAUGGGUUAAUACCCCGUGAAACUGACGGUACCUGCAGAAUAAGCACCGGCUAACUACGUGCCAGCAGCCGCGGUAAUACGUAGGGUGCAAGCGUUAAUCGGAAUUACUGGGCGUAAAGCGUGCGCAGGCGGUUCGGAAAGAAAGAUGUGAAAUCCCAGAGCUCAACUUUGGAACUGCAUUUUUAACUACCGGGCUAGAGUGUGUCAGAGGUAGGUGGAAUUCCGCGUGUAGCAGUGAAAUGCGUAGAUAUGCGGAGGAACACCGAUGGCGAAGGCGGCCUCCUGGGAUAACACUGACGCUCAUGCACGAAAGCGUGGGGAGCAAACAGG
rnacentral:rRNA from 1 species